UUUUCGGACAAGUGCACAGCAAUGGCACACAGAGCAUAGCAACCACCCUGGGAGGGCCUAUGGGCCAUAACAACCAGUUGGCCAAUCAACACAGGGCAAGCCCUCCAAGCCUGGAGGCACACCAAUCCUGAGCCUGUGCAUACCCCUAGUCACUCCCCUAGACACGGCUGCCCUACAAGAUCUCUCUGCAGCCGGUUUGAGCUGUCUUUGCUAGCCAUCCACCAUGGCGGGUGGAUGAAAGACCCAAGCUAACAUGGGGUUAGCUCGUUAAACAACAAUAAAGCCUCAUGCUUUUUGCAGCAAGUUUUCGAGUCUGCCUGGUGAUUGGGGUGACCUCGGUCCUGGGACCCCGGAGGCCUGAGAUUUCCGGGGGUCUAACAUUUGGGGGCUCAUCCAGGAUUUGCGACCACCCCUCACCUGAGUGGAUUUGAUCUUGGAGUUUAUAAUGUCAGACAGACUGCCAGAUCCUGACAGUGACCAAAGUCUCCAAAGAAGAUUAUGAGGAACCCCAGUUCCUGCACCUGGACCAGUGAGCAAGAUGCUCAGAUGUGAUACCUGCUGCCUGCCAGGACCUGGCCGAGACUGUGGACAAAGCUGCUAGACACUGGAAAAUUGAUUGCACCCCCUUUGCCUAGACAAAACAAGGUCAGUCUUUUCCAUGUCCCUCUUCCACAGAGAGAAAAAACAAAACAACAACAACAACAACAACAAAAAACCUCUCACCUUAUAGGCCGGGCGAAGAUUGCUGUUCUUUGAGACAUCUGCCUCCAGCGGUAAUGGAGAAACUUGGGUAUGACUAACUGUAUAUGGACAGGCUUCUAACUGGCUUCUGUCACUUUUUAGUAGAUUUGGAUAAAAUAUACCCUUCUCAGAUCUCUGAAAUAUUAAUGGUUGUCAGCUUGACAGCAUCAGACAGUCCGAUCCACUAUAGGCUAUAGUCAGCAUGUUAGCUGAUAAAGCAAUGAUUACCUACUAUUUAGUCACAAGUUCAAGGUUUUUAAGUUUAUUUUGGUUGUCAUCUAAGUAUAAACUUAAAAGGCUUUUCAUCAGGCCAAAGGCACCUCUGUCCAAACCUGGCUCUCUGGACAGAAGAAAAAUGUACAGGCUUCUAGCCCAAACCUGUAGUUAUAAAUUAUAAAUAUGUUCCUGCUGUUUGAACAGAUAUCCAGAUAUCUGCUUUUUCUGCACUGUGGGCUUCAGUAAAUAAGUUUUAACUUCUGUUCUUAGUUUAAACAUGUCUUAAACAGGUUUCUGCUUCUGGCAGACACAUCUGAGUAUCAGUUGCUGACUACAGGCUGUUCUAAGUAGACUGUGAGCCCUGAACUUGCUGUGGAUGUGAACCAGUCCAGCUGAUGUGGACACCCCCUGUCUCUGCAACAGAGUCUUCCAACAGCCCCUGAUGGAUUCCCCAUUGCCUAAAUUCCUUUUUUUGCUUUUGACUAGCAUUUCAACCUUCUGGGGUCCCUAACUUCAUCCCAAAGUCAGCAGGAAGUAGCAUGGGAAAGAAUUCGCCACCCAUUUUCCCUGGUUAAAAUGUUAAGUCAGAAGGAACUCCCUUGCAUGGGGGAUGCCAAUAUCUCUCACUCCCUGAUGGGGACAAGGGAGAGACAGCAAUUCUAUGAUUGGAAUUUCCAAAAAAGAAAAUGGGGGAAUGAAGGGACCAGCUCCCAUUUCAGCAGCCAUAACAGCUGAACACCUUGUCUUAGUCAUUAAGAGGUCAGACGCCUGCCUUGUGGCAAGGAACCAAUCAGAAGUUAGCUGGUGGUGCUAUGCUUUACGGCUCUAGGUAUGCUUUUCGGACAAGUGCACAGCAAUGGCACACAGAGCAUAGCAACCACCCUGGGAGGGCCUAUGGGCCAUAACAACCAAUUGGCCAAUCAACACAGGGCAAGCCCUCCAAGCCUGGAGGCACACCAAUCCUGAGCCUGUGCAUACCCCUAGUCACUCCCCUAGACACGGCUUCCCUACAAGAUCUCUCUGCAGCCGGUUUGAGUUGUCUUUGCUAGCCAUCCUCCAAGGCGGGUGGGUGAAAGACCGGAGCUAACAUGGGGUUAGCUCGUUAAACAACAAUAAAGCCUCAUGCUGUUUGCAGCAAGUUUUCGAGUCUGCCUGGUGAUUGGGGUGACCUUGG
rnacentral:lncRNA from 1 species